CUGAAAGUGUCUAUUUGUUUCAAUGGAUAUGUCUUACUCCGCCAUGUAUCUUCAUUGGAGUUGGUGAUACUAAAUAAAUAAUAACGUUGUGUUUUUUAUUUAUUUUUUAUUUUAAAUGAUCCUCGUCCUUGUGCAUGGUCAUCGUGAACAUACCUUUUUGUCAGGCUUGCGUUUUAUUCCCAAGAUCGGUAUCCGGAAGCACCACAAGGCUGGAAUUUUUCUCUCGAGUACCAAGUGGAUCAACUCGCAAUGUGGCCUAACCAAGGUCCUCCAAUGGGUCCACCCAACCCAAGUUUUCCUCCUCCAGCCUAUCCUGGAGUUCCAAAUCCAGCAUACCCCCCUGGUUACAAUCCAGCAUAUCCACCUGGUAUGAACCCAGCUGUACCUCCUGGGCUGGGUCCUCCUGGGGCCCCAGGACAACCCUAUUUCCCCACUGGUCCUGCACCCCCACCCUAUCCAGGGGCCCCACCCCCUCAUGUCCCACACGGUGGAGUCUACCCAGGCCCUCACUAUGGCCCUCCUCAUGGUCCUCAUCCACAUCCUGGGGGUUUCAACCCUCUGGCUGGGGGUUUAGCAGGAGGUGUAGCAGGGGCAGGAAUGGCCUUGACGGGACACAAGGUGCACAAGAAAAUGAAAAAGAUGAAGAAAGGAAAGAAGGCACACAAGGCUCAUAAAAACAUGAAGCAUGGAAAGCAUUCUUCAAGCAGCAGUAGUAGUAGCAGCAGCAGCGACUCAGACUAAAGUUACUAGAGUCCACCAAAUCACUGACAACAUGAUCUGCCCUGUAACAAGUGACAUACAGCAAAUGAUAGCUUGGUUUACUGACCUUUGUCUUAUACAGCUUGUUUUAAUAAUUUUCACUCUAAACUAUAUUAUUACUAAGCCAUUAAUCUAUUGUGUCAUAUAGGUUGAUUGGUUUGUAAAGCAAUUUACUGUAUUGUUUAAUUAUCACAUACUAAAGAAAAUUUGAUUAUCCUCAAAGUCAGUAAUGUAAAGCACCUGGUCUGAAACUUCUGGUUUUAUGUUUCUCUGUCAAAGAACUAGAUUAACCACCUUUAACCACAUGGGAGAUAUAUCGGUUUUCAUAGUAAACUGUGUGACACAACUACUGGACAAUGCUGUUGAGGAUUAAUGUAUGUACUGCAUUCUUACAAGUGUUACAACAACAAAUGUUUAUGGUAAAUUAUACGAAACUGAUCAUCUAAAUUCUGGUAUGGUUCUUAUCUUGUCUCGCUGUGGAAAUAGUGACACUGUGAAGGUUAGAAAGUGCCUUAUCAUUAAGGUGUGUAGACCUUAAUUUAUGCAAUGGUUAAAAAAAAUCCUUUAUCACUGACGAAGCACUUUGUGUUAUAUCUGAAUGACAAAAAGAGAAGUGAAGCUUAAUCUAUGGCAUUGUCUGAAACAAAGCAGGGGAUGCAUGGACACAGCCAAGUUACAUCAAGACCUAUGCAAUAUGCAAUGUUGUUUUAUUGAGACAAAUUAGCUCUUUUGCCAGUACACUGUUUGAGUCCAAGUCCUCCAGUGACUACCAAUGUGUUUGCAAUAUAGUAUUGUUUAACACAAUUGACACACAAUGUAGAUAAAUUGAUCUUAUCCCUUCAAUGAUCAAUCCUUUCAAAUAUCCCUUCAGUUAAGGUACACUGUUGCCGAGUUGCUUCACACAUAUCACAUAUUAAACAUUCUUGUAAAGAUUCAGAGAGAAGAGGAAUGCUAAUAGGGUUAUUCAAACUUGUAAUCUUUUAUUUUAUGGAAAGCAUAUUUUUCCUAUGUAUUUAAAUGUAAUUAAAUAAUUUCUGAUUUAACUAAACAUAACAUAAAGGGAAGGUUUGACUGUAAAUUGGGUGAUGCUCUCAAAACAUACAUAUUUCAUAAUAUAUUAUAAAUGAUUAAAUUGUCGAAACUACAA
ensembl:lncRNA